ensembl:ncRNA lncRNA:CR45035 long non-coding RNA:CR45035
AAUUCAAUUUAUAGCAAACCAGGAGAAAAUUGUAGCCAACAUUUUAUUUUUCGCUAUGGCUUUCCUCAUUAUUUAUUUAUUGACUGGCAGCUGCGAAUGUGUUUGUUCUGCAGCCCCUAAAGUCCUCAGAAUCGGAUCUUGGCAUCCCGACGGAAUUUUCCCUGGAUUAUACUGAAUUGCUGCUUCUCUGUUUUCGGCUUUCCCAAAUUGUAUUUUUCUAUCAAGAUGUAUUAAUCCACUUCUCUCUCUGUUUUUCGCUGUGCUUCGGCGUUCUACUGCGGAAGUUUUGGCAACACCUACUC